GUUAGCUUGGUGUAGAAACAAUACACAUUGGACUUUCAAGCCAAAGUGACUGAUCAAAAGUAGCUAACC
rnacentral:tRNA from 1 species